rnacentral:rRNA from 1 species
GACGAACGCUGGCGGCGUGCUUAACACAUGCAAGUCGAACGGGCCCGCCCCUGUUUUUGGGGGUGGGUUGAGUGGCGAACGGGUGAGUAUCACGUGAGUAACCUGCCCCCUGCUCCUGGAUAACUGCUUGAAAGGGCGGCUAAUACGGGGUGUGCCGGCUGGUCCGCAUGGGCCUGGUCGGGAUAGUUUCAUCUUCGGGUGUUUCGGUGGGGGAUGGGCUCGCGGCCUAUCAGCUUGUUGGUGGGGUGAUGGCCCACCAAGGCGGUGACGGGUAGCCGGCCUGAGAGGGUGGGCGGCCACACUGGGACUGAGACACGGCCCAGACUCCUGCGGGAGGCAGCAGUGGGGGGUAUUGCACAAUGGGCGGAAGCCUGAUGCAGCGACGUCGCGUGAGGGAUGGAGGCCGUCGGGUUGUGAACCUCUUUCUCCGGUGGUGAAGGCCCUGUCCGUUGCGGCGGGGUUGACGGUAGCCGGGUAUGAAGCGCCGGCUAACUACGUG